rnacentral:rRNA from 1 species
UGAAUACGAGAUGCUACGGCGUCGAAGCAGUCUAUGUCAUACUUCCAAGAAAAGCUCGCACUGUCAUAAACAAAUAAUGCCUGUACCAUAACCGACACAGGUGGGUAGGUAGAGUAUACUAAGGGGCGCGAGAUAACUCUCUCUAAGGAACUCGGCAAAAUGACUCCGUAACUUCGGGAGAAGGAGUGCCUUAUUUAUAAGGUUGCAAUAACAAGAUCCAAGCAACUGUUUAUCAAAAACACAGGUCUCCGCUAAGUCGUAAGACGAUGUAUGGGGGCUGACGCCUGCCCAGUGCCAGAAGGUUAAAGAAGUUGGUUAGCAUUCGCGAAGCUGAUAACUGAAGCCCUGGUGAACGGCGGCCGUAACAAUAACGGUCCUAAGGUAGCGAAAUUCCUUGUCGGGUAAGUUCCGACCCGCACGAAAGGCGUAAUGAUUUGGAUACUGUCUCGGAGAGGGGCUCGGUGAAAUAGACUUGUCUGUGAAGAUGCGGACUACCUGCACCAGGACAGAAAGACCCUAUGAAGCUUUACUGUAACUUGAGAUUGAAAUUGGACUUUACUUGCGCAGUAUAGGUGGGAGGCGUUGAUAAUAUUCUUGCGGGAUUAUUUGAGCCAUCAGUGAGAUACCACUCUUGUAAUGUUAGAUUUCUAACUUUGUAUCAUUAUCUGGUCAAAGGACAGUUUCAGGCGGGUAGUUUGACUGGGGCGGUCGCCUCCUAAACGGUAACGGAGGCGCACAAAGGUUUCCUCUGAACGGGUAGAAAUCGUAUCUAGAGUGUAAAGGCAUAAGGAAGCUUGACUGUGAGACCUACAAGUCGAGCAGGGACGAAAGUCGGUCUUAGUGAUCUGACGGUGCUGAGUGGAAAGGCCGUCACUCAACGGAUAAAAGUUACUCUAGGAUAACAGGCUGAUCUCCCCCAAGAGUUCACAUCGACGGGGAGGUUUGGCACCUCGAUGUCGGCUCAUCGCAUCCUGGGGCGGUAGUACGUCCCAAGGGUUGGGCUGUUCGCCCAUAAAAGCGGUACGCGAGCUGGGUUCAGAACGUCGUGAGACAGUUCGGUCCAUAUCCGGUGUAGGCGUUAGAAUAUUGAGAGGAGCCUUCUUUAGUACGAGAGGACCGAGAAGGACAUACCUCUGGUGUACCAGUUAUCGUGCCAACGGUAAACGCUGGGUAGCUAUGUAUGGAGUGGAUAACCGCUGAAAGCAUCUAAGUGGGAAGCCCACCUCAAGAUAAG